rnacentral:lncRNA from 1 species
GAAUUUAAUUCAGCACAACUUUAUAUUUUUCGGCCCAAUUGUUUUGAGGCCCGUUCCAUGUAUUAUUUAAACCGAAAAAAGGCAGCUAGGGUUAUCAUCCACUGUUCACUAAAUAUUCAAACCCUAGAGCAGCCGUCAUCUUCCAUGGAGAACUAAACUUCUAUUGAUCCAUUGGUGUAAGGAACUUUGUUCUCGAAUCUUGAGGUUCGGUUUUAAUAGCAAAUCGUUAUGUUUAUGCUUAUCAUAUAUCAAUUUUCUUGUCUCUCUUUUGUGUAUGAGUUGAUGCAAUUGAUGCUUAAUUAUUUUGUUUCACGUUCAUAACAUUGAGAC